rnacentral:rRNA from 1 species
CCUACGGGUGGCAGCAGUGGGGAAUAUUGCACAAUGGGCGCAAGCCUGAUGCAGCGACGCCGCGUGAGGGAUGACGGCCUUCGGGUUGUAAACCUCUUUCAGCAGGGACGAAGCGCAAGUGACGGUACCUGUAGAAGAAGGACCGGCCAACUACGUGCCAGCAGCCGCGGUAAUACGUAGGGUCCGAGCGUUGUCCGGAAUUACUGGGCGUAAAGAGCUCGUAGGUGGUUUGUCGCGUUGUUCGUGAAAACUCACAGCUUAACUGUGGGCGUGCGGGCGAUACGGGCAGACUGGAGUACUGCAGGGGAGACUGGAAUUCCUGGUGUAGCGGUGGAAUGCGCAGAUAUCAGGAGGAACACCGGUGGCGAAGGCGGGUCUCUGGGCAGUAACUGACGCUGAGGAGCGAAAGCGUGGGGAGCGAACAGGAUUAGAUACCCCUGUAGUC